rnacentral:rRNA from 1 species
UACGUAGGGUGCGAGCGUUGUCCGGAAUUAUUGGGCGUAAAGGGCUCGUAGGCGGUUUGUCGCGUCGGGAGUGAAAACACCGGGCUUAACUCGGUGCUUGCUUUCGAUACGGGCAGACUAGAGGUAUGCAGGGGAGAACGGAAUUCCUGGUGUAGCGGUGAAAUGCGCAGAUAUCAGGAGGAACACCGGUGGCGAAGGCGGUUCUCUGGGCAUUACCUGACGCUGAGGAGCGAAAGUGUGGGGAGCGAACAGGAUUAGAUACCCCGAGUAGUCC